GUUUCCAUUAGUAUUGGGCACAGUAUGUGUUGUUUUUCGCAUGUGCGUUAUCGGAUAGUUUGGAUGUGUGUCUAAAUUAUAUAAAUAUUAUCCACUGGAUUUAACGAUUAUAUAUGGUGAGUUUACUAUUUUAAGUUUUCUUAAGUUAUCUACUGACUUUUUUGUCGAAAUGUAUGUGUGUAAUUCACAAAUAGGUAAUUUAAGUGUAACAAGUUGAAACACUCGACAUCCGAAAUGAUACAUUAUUUUUCCACAUUAAUUAAUUAAUACGGAUACAUUUAUACUAUAACUUUUUUUAAUCAUUGUAAAUACACAUUUUUAAAAUUUAAAAAAAAUGCUGUAUAAUUUACAUGUGGUGACUCAUGCAUGGCUGAACAUGCUUACAAACAUUGAACAUGCAUGGUUGAACUUGAUCAUAAAUAUUACCAUAUUUGGCUUGUGUACAAUAAUCAGUUUUGUACACAAUGUUUUUGUUUUUCGCAAAAAGAUUAGUCCUGAUUCAAUUGAAUCUUUGCAAUGAAUCUAUUUGUUUUAGGAUUAUCUGAUUAGUUUUUUUGUUAUAUAGUUGUUACUUCAAUAAUUUCUGAAAUUUCUUUCUGGAAAAUUUUAAAUGUUUAUUUUUUUUGUCUUCUUUUCUGACAAAAUGUGAUUUGUAUAUUGAGAAGGAUAUUAUAGUCAAUAUGUAAUUAAUAUCAAAGUAUGCUAAAUCUUCAAUUUUGUACCCUGUUACCAAAUUUUCAAGGUUUAUAAUAUCUUUUUCAAUACCUAGGGAUUUCAUUAAUGUCAUUUAUUAUUUUUUAGAAAAUCAUUAUAUUAACAGCAAUUGAUAAAAAAAUGUUUCAUAGUCUUCCUUUUUUUUACAAUGCUUACAUAAGUUGUUUCAGUUAUUUUCCACUUUUUUAAGAGUUCAUUACUUGGCAGUAUGUAGUGAAUAGUUUCCAUCUAAAAAUUUCAAUCUAUUAUCAGUUAGAUAUUGAAAAAUGAAAGCAAAAGUAUUUUUCAAUUUAGAAUUCAAGUUUUCUCAAAUAUUUUUUCCACAUAAGAAAACCAUUUGGUUUAUCACAACUAUUUUCCAGUGUGAAUAUUUUAUAGAGUUCUUUGUACUCAUCAAGGGAGUAAUUGUCCUGUGCAUAAUUUUUAAGUCGUUUAUAAAUUUAACUUUAGUUUUUGAAUGAAUCUUCAGUGCAAAGAUCUGUUUCCAAUCAAUUGGUAUUGCUUUUUUUAACAUAUAUAUUUGCCUUAUCCAAUUUUGCUUGUAUUUUAGUUUCUUUAAAAUGGUGUUUCAGAGAUAUUGCCCUGUUAUCAAUUACAUCAUUUAUAUUGAUAAUGUCACUUUUUAUCCAAUCAUCAAAGUUUAAAACAUUUUUUCAUUAAACCGAUAUUAUCAUUUCCCCACAAAACUUGUUUUCUUAAUUUCAAGAAAAUUUUUUAGGAUAUAUUUUGAUUACCUCCCUUUACCACUUAUCCCAAUAUGUUAGGUUUGGUAAAACUAAAGAUUUGAUGACAACUAUUUUUCCUAUGAUAGUAAGAUUUCUUUUACUCCAAUCAGAUAUUAUUUUUUUACUUUUUAACAGUUGUUUUUCAAAGUUAAGUUUUUGACAUUCUUGUUUAUUGUAACCAAAGUAAAUUCCGAGGCUUUUGAUUGGUGCAGUACACCAAUUUAUAUUUUCAAAUUUUUCCCGACUGUGUUUUAAUCGACCAAGCCAUAUUCCUUCAGUUUUUGUUUUAUUCAAUUUCAAACCUGAGAGAGUACCAAAUGUUUCUAUUAAAUUAAUUGCUAGAGAUACAUCUUUUUUUGAUUGAAGAAAUAGAGUAGUGUCGUCAGCUAAUUGGCAGAUUUUCAGGUGUUACUCUUACCGUCUAAUUUUAUUUCUAGUCCUUUUAAGUUUUUAUUUUCCCUUAUCUUUAUCGCCAUAACUUCUACAGCUAGAACAAAUAGUAACGAUGAUAACGGACAUCCUUGUCGGAUCCCGCGAGAUGCCCUAAAACGGGAGGAAACCCAUCCAUUAUUAAUAAUGCAUCCUUUAAUAUCAGAGUACAUUGUCUGAACCCACCUUAUAAAAUUAUCUUUAAAAUCCAAAUUUUUUUAAAGUCUCAAACAUGAAGUCCCAUUCUAAUGAGUCAAAUGCUUUUGUAAAAUCAAGAAAUAAAAUUGCCCCAUCAAUUUUGAAAGUUUCAGAAUAGUCUAUGACAUCUUGUAUUUGUCUAAUGUUGAAACCAAUAUACCUAUUUUUGACAUAUCCUUUUUGAUCAGUAUGUAUAAUCUUUGGUAGCAGGGGUUUUAAUCUUUGUGCUAAGGCAUAAGCAAGUAAUUUAGCAUCAUAGUUUAAAAGAGUAAUAGGUCUAUAAUUGUCUAGAGAAAAGGGAUCAUUCUUUUUAUAAAUUAGAGAUAUUAAGCCAACUUUCUGAGUGUUAGAUAGUUCUCUUUUUUCAUAGCAGUAAUUGAAAGUGGAGACUAUAAAAGAUUUAAGUUCAUCCCAGAAUGUUCUAUAAAAUUCCACAUUUAGUCCGUCAAGCCCAGGCGCUUUAUUAAGUUUCAUUUUAAAAAUUGCAUCAGUACAUUCAUCAACAGUUAUUUCCCCUUCGCAAGAAUUACUUUCACAAUCAGUUAAUUUCUUAUAUUCCUUGAGAGAAUCUAAAUACUUUUUAGUUGCUUCUAUUUCAGGGUUUUUUGUAGAAUAUAAAUUUUUUAUAAUAAUUUGCUUCUAAUUUUAAUAUUUUGUCUUGAUCUCUUGUAAUUUGACCUUUAUCAUCAUAUAAUUGGGUUAUUGUUUUUCUACUCUGUCUUGAUUUUUCCAUCCCUAGAAAAUAUGCGGAAUUUUUCUCUCCUUCUUCAACCCAUUUUACCCUUGCUCUUAUUUGAUUCCCUUUUAUUUUUUCGUUAUAGAGUUUUCCUAUUUCAUUUCUAUAUUAUCUAUUUCUUUUAAUAUAUUAUUGUUGUUUUUAUUAUUGCAUGUAUCAAUAAUAUUAUUUAAUUCUGUUAAAUUUUUUUCCAAUUUGCUGAUUAGGUUUUUUUAUUCUUAGCUUUUGUUUUGCAAUAGCUUAUUGUCUGGUCUCUAACUUCUAUUUUGAAAUUGUCCCACAGUAUGUCAAGAUCUGUUCUUGUUUUAGCUUUGUUUUUAAAUUUUUAAUUAAUUUUCCUAAUUAUUUCAGCAUAGUCUUCAUUUUGAAGUACACUGCUGUUUAAUUUCCAGUAUCCUUUUCCUUUUUGGCCUCUGUUAAGAUUUAUUUUUAAAGAAACACAGUUGUGGUCUGUGUAUUGUAAUACUAUUGGUCUAAUGUCACAUGAAACACAGUUUUUGAAUACUUCUGGAGCUAUUAAAAAAUAAUCUAUUCGUGUUGACUCUGACCUAUCUUUUCUGCUCCAUGUAAAUUGAACUUUAUUUGGAUUUUUGGUUCUCCACACAUCAUUGAGUUUUAGGGACUUUAUAAGUUUAUUUAAAUUGUGAACUUUUUUCCUAUUUUUUUGUUGUUUAGUUUUACUUUUUGAAUCAAUUUGAGAUAAAAUUUCAUUAUGAUCUCCUCCUAGAAUAAGUUGACCUAAACUUUUUUCUUCUAUUAAUGUAUGGACAGUUUUGAAAAAAGUAUUUCUGCUUUUUGGAUUGUUUGGUGCAUAAAUAUUAACUAUUGUUAUUAUAGUAUCAUUUAUUUCAAUAUUAACAAGUAAAAGUCUUCCUUCUUUAUCUUUAUAGUCAUCAAUUAUUUUAAAGUUUAAAUUUUUAUUCAGCCAUAUGGCAAUACCUCUUGAAUUGCUAGAACCAUUACUCAGUAAAAGUUUACCUUCAAAUUCAGUAUUUAAAUUAUUUAUUAAAUUAUCUGUAAAGUGUGUUUCUUGCAUUAGAAGAAUGUCACAUUUUUGGGAUUUAGACCAUUCAAUUAAUCUUUUUCUUUUAUCAGAUUGUUGCAGACCUUUACAAUUAACUGUACAGAUAUGAAGAUGUUUGUUAAAUACCAUGGUUGGUGAGUAGUUAAUUUUAUUUGUAGUCUCUUUACGGUGUUAUGUGUAUUUUAAAAAGUUAACAUAGUAAAUUCCCGUUGAGUGAUACAAUUGGGUCACACUGAAGUUGACCUUCACAGAGCACGAGACUAUAAAUAGACAUCUUUUCAGUUGUUUUAUUUUUAUCACUUUUGUCUGUUCUAGGACAUUUAUCUACGAUUUGUCUUAUGAAUAAGCAUAAGCUAUUGGUUUUUUCUUCUACAAAAUGUACAUUUGAAACUUAAAUUGUUUAUUUUAAAGUUUAUACAAUUUUUACUUUUGACAAUGUUAUGAUUGUCAUGAUUGUUAUCUUUGUAAAUAAUGUUUAUAAAUAGGGUAAAAUUUUUACCUGUAUUUGUCUUUACAAUCCUUUUGCAAAAAGGAAGAAAAGCGUAUUUCAUUUGAAUGUUUUUACAUGUAUUCACAAGUAAAGUGUAACACAAUUUGUUUCUAUUAAAAACAUACAAGUUUCAUAUACAUUCGUAAAUAAAUACAAUCUAUUGUUUUCUUUUACGUAUACCCCAUGGGUCAUUAUUUGGGUCAUCCAUGUGACUUCAAAAACAGACAUUGACAUGUGCCUCUUAAUUUUAGCACACUCAAUGUUUGUUAAACAAAUACGAGUACAAUUAUUUAUGUGUUUCAUAUUGAAAUACAUAUGCAAAUCAAUUUUUAAAAAAAGAACAAUUUUUAUAUACAUACAUGGUAAAAAAUAUUUAUUUUUAUUUGUAGGAUAAGAAGACCUCUCUGACUGAAUUUGAAUGAAGAAAUAUGAACAGAUUAAUAAAAAUUGGAUUUUUUCCAAUGUAGCAUUACUGGAAACAUUUAACAGUGUGUUUGAUAAUAAUGAUUGUAAAAAAUAAGUAGUUUGAUACCAAUUAAAUGUUUUGUAUUUUACAGUUUCUUUACUUUUUAAUCUGUGAUAGGUAUCACUUGCC
rnacentral:lncRNA from 1 species